UCCCCCAAGAGUCCACAUCGACGGGGAGGUUUGGCACCUCGAUGUCGGCUCAUCACAUCCUGGGGCUGUAGUAGGUCCCAAGGGUUGGGCUGUUCGCCCAUUAAAGUGGUACGCGAGCUGGGUUCAGAACGUCGUGAGACAGUUCGGUCCCUAUCCGUCGCAGGCGUAGGAAAUUUGAGAAGACCUGUCCUUAGUACGAGAGGACCGGGAUGGACGUACCUCUGGUGUACCAGUUGUUCUGCCAAGGGCAUGGCUGGGUAGCUAUGUACGGAAUGGAUAAGCGCUGAAAGCAUCUAAGCGCGAAGCCAACUUCAAGAUAAGAUUUCCCACCGCAAGGGUAAGACCCCAGAAAGACUAUCUGGUUGAUAGGUCGAAGGUGUAAGUGCAGCAAUGUAUUUAGCUUAUCGAUACUAAUAGGUCGAGGACUUGACCAAU
rnacentral:rRNA from 1 species